AUGCUGAUGCAGCUAUAGCAUAUGGGUCUCUUCUUCUUCAAGGUCUCUUCUUCCCCACCAUGCUUCUUUUAUGUUAUUGUAGAAUAGUCGUCAAGAUUCCCAACGAAUAACUGCAAUGUGUUAAGUUCUUGCCAAAAAUGGAUCUAUAUGUAGGGUGAUUCUUCAAAUAGAAAUAAUGGUGUUGAAGUCCCAGAAUCUGUGAUGAACUUGACUUCGAAAAGGGGUUCUUUAACAAGAAAGGCAAGAAAGAAUGCGGAAAGCAUUGUAAGAGACCAGGCAGGAAUGGCAAGAGAGCGGUUUCAGAUCGCUGCAAAAGCAGGAUGUGAUCUUGGACAGAAAUGGUUGGAAAGACUUGACGAGGAAGAGAAUCAUCUAUUGACCGAAGAUUAGAAAAUUAGUAGAGUAUUCAUUAAGUUAUUUUUUCUAGUUCAUUUUGUAGUCGCUUCAGACUUAUUUUGUAUGUAUAUUAAUGUAUUUUAGUAAGUAAUAUAGUCCUUUUGGUGGUUUUCAGAUG